rnacentral:rRNA from 1 species
GAUGAACGCUGGCGGCGUGCCUAAUACAUGCAAGUAGAACGCUUAAGGAGGAGCUUGCUCUUCUGGAUGAGUUGCGAACGGGUGAGUAACGCGUAGGUAACCUGCCUGGUAGCGGGGGAUAACUAUUGGAAACGAUAGCUAAUACCGCAUGACAACAGUUAUUGCAUGAUAACUGUUUAAAAGGGGCAACUGCUCCACUACCAGAUGGACCUGCGUUGUAUUAGCUAGUUGGUGAGGUAACGGCUCACCAAGGCGACGAUACAUAGCCGACCUGAGAGGGGGAUCGGCCACACUGGGAAUGAGGCACGGCCCAGAAUCCUAAGGGAGGCAGCAGGAGGGGAUCUUCGGCAAUGGAAGGAAGGCUGAACGAGGGACGCCGCGGGAGUGCAGAAGGUUUUCGGGUCGUAAAGCUCAGUUGUGAGAGAAGAACGAGAGUGAGAGUGGAAAGGUCACACUGUGACGGUACCUUAACAGAAAGCGACGGCUAACUACGUG